rnacentral:rRNA from 1 species
CCUACGGGUGGCAGCAGUGAGGAAUAUUGGUCAAUGGACGAGAGUCUGAACCAGCCAAGUAGCGUGAAGGAUGACUGCCCUAUGGGUUGUAAACUUCUUUUAUAAAGGAAUAAAACGAGGCACGUGUGCCUCUUUGCAUGUACUUUAUGCAUAAGGAUCGGCUAACUUCGUGCCAGCAGCCGCGGUAAUACGGAGGAUCCGAGCGUUAUCCGGAUUUAUUGGGUUUAACGGGAGCGUAGAUGGGUUGUUAAGUCAGUUGUGAAAGUUUGCGGCUCAACCGUAAGAUUGGAAGUGAUACUGGCAGUCUUGAGUACAGUAGAGGUGAGCGGAAUUCGUGGUGUAGCGGUGAAAUGCUUAGAUAUCACGAAGAACUCCGGUUGCGAAGGCAGCUCACUGGACUGCAACUGACACUGAUGCUCGAAAGUGUGGGUAGCAAACAGGAUUAGAUACCCCUGUAGUC